rnacentral:lncRNA from 1 species
GAAGGGGUUAUUCCAUAUAAAAUCUUGAGGGGUAGAACUCUCCGCGAACUUCUUCACCAAGUUGCAAGAAGGGGUUGUUCCGCGCCGAAGCUUGAAAGAUGAGACGCUCCAUGAACUUAUUCACCAAGUUGGAAGAAGGAUUUAUCCCACGCCAAAGAUUGAAGGUGAGGGAUGCUCCACAGACUUUAUAGCCAAAGAUUGCAAACAGAAAUUCUCCACGUAAUUUUGUCACCAAAGACGCAAGGAUGAGGAGGCACCAACCUUUCUCUCGACAAAUCUGCCAAAAAAAAGGUAUGCUGCCCGAAUAAUCUUGCCAAUUUUGGCCUUUGCUUCAAAUAUUUACUGUGACUGGAUCAAAUAGGGUGGAGCAACGAGAUUUUUAUAUAUUGUAUCUCUCAUAGUAUUCUUUUCAACGGCACAAACCACUCAUGAUUUGGACGCUCCUAUCUCGUGAUAUGACAUUUUCACCGAGAGUGCACAUAAUUGUUAGAUCAGCAGGCCAGAUGCAUUGAUCAAUUUCAAAAAAUUAAUUCCAUCCUAUCCAAAAGGUGCUUAGGGGUGAAAUUUUUACACAUUGAAUUAUUUGAAGUGUAGUUUCAAAAGGAUCAAACAGCUUGUAUUUCUGAUUCUCCUAGGAUAAGAUGUGGUUGUUGUCUUCACAUAUGCACAGUGAUUGAUAUUCCAGACCGCUUCUGCAAAGAAAAAAUGUUUUGAAGCCCUCGGUGCCAACAACACGAAGCUUUUGAUCCUGUUUAAUUAAGCGGUAUCAAUGACACGAAGUUUAAAGUUAUGGCCAAGUUUAAUGUCAAAACAGUUGCACAAGGUUUACCAAUUUGAACUUUCUUUGUUGAUGCCAUCGGUUUCUUGAAGAAAAACAUACAAAAAAACGUGAACCAAAAGAAAAUUUAAGAGGACUUCUUCUAUUUAUAGAAGUGUUAAGUCAGUUGUUGUUAGUUGGGUGAACAAGAAUUUUUCUUUAAAAAAUAAAAGUCAAUUACUAGUUGACUAGCAAGUCUUAUGGAAACUUUGAGAUAAAAUUCAAAUUGGAGAAACAUCACGUCGUGGUGGAAGGUUGCUUGAAUCAAAGGAAAGCUAAGUUGUCAUAAUGGGUUUCAAGUGGAUUCUGUAAUUCACGCCCAUAAAAGCUAUUUUGAGCUGUAUUAUUCUUGGAAUCUACUGCCUAGUUCUAUGUUGAUGGUGCAAUAUGGAUACUAUGGUAUUUAUCAAAGAAAAUUGAAGUAACCAAUUUUUUCUCAAAAAUAAAGAGGAAAACAAGAUUCUUCACCUUGGUAUAUGGGACAGUUUGGUUAAGGGAUUCAUAAAGAAACGUUGUCUUCACUUUACUUCAAAGUCUUCCCUUCGAUUUUUGGAAAGCCUACACCCACGACAAGUUUUCAAGCAAGGGCAUUUGUAGACAAUUAAAAUUUUAUCAAAUUUAAAUUCAUAAGAAAUUUAAAUUUUAUCAUAAAUUAAAUAUGUAUUUGUCCAAUUAAGUAAUAUGGAAUGGUAUAAUUGAGUUUGUUAUUUAAAUUUAAUUAAAUUGAUUUAAAUAGAGGUCCAAUAUACUAUUGGGCUAGCCCAUUAGUUGAUCUUCUAUCAAAUGAAUCGGCCCAUAAGCCUCAAGUCCAAUGGCCCAGCAAGGUUUUCUUAGAGGCUACUUCACCCUACACCUAUAUAAAGGGGUGAAUGGAGAAGGUUACAAAGACAAGCAAGUAAGCAGAAGGAUAGGCUAAAGAAGCUUUGAAGAAUAGCAUCAAAGUCUCCAUUGCAAUCGUCGUCUGUGAUCAAAUCCAAAGGCUAACUCAAAUCAUAGGCAGACAGCUACAAAUCUUCCGUUCGUGCUAACCCAUACCAAAUCCUUGUUGGUGACGACCUUCAAAUUGUUCGUAACGUACUACAAAUCUAAAAUCUGUCAAGUUCAAAAUUAACCUCUCAAGCUCUUGAACCAUAAUCCGAGAGGAGAAUAAUCAGAGGACUGCCUCUAUUUAGAUUUAGAGUUAUUUUAGAGAUUG